UUGUAUGAUAGCUGUAAUAAU
rnacentral:piRNA from 1 species